rnacentral:rRNA from 1 species
GAUGAACGCUGGCGGCGUGCUUAACACAUGCAAGUCGAACGGAAAGGCUCCUGCUUGCAGGGGUACUCGAGUGGCGAACGGGUGAGUAACACGUGGGUGAUCUGCCCUGCACUUCGGGAUAAGCCUGGGAAACUGGGUCUAAUACCGGAUAGGACGAUGGUUUGGAUGCCAUUGUGGAAAGUUUUUCGGUGUGGGAUGAGCUCGCGGCCUAUCAGCUUGUUGGUGGGGUAAUGGCCUACCAAGGCGUCGACGGGUAGCCGGCCUGAGAGGGUGUACGGCCACAUUGAGACUGAGAUACGGCCCAGACUCCUACGGGAGGCAGCAGUGGGGAAUAUUGCACAAUGGGCGCAAGCCUGAUGCAGCGACGCCGCGUGGGGGAUGACGGCCUUCGGGUUGUAAACUCCUUUCGUCAGGGACGAAGCGAAAGUGACGGUACCUGGAUAAGAAGCACCGGCUAACUACGUG